rnacentral:rRNA from 1 species
UACGUAGGGUCCGAGCGUUGUCCGGAAUUAUUGGGCGUAAAGGGCUCGUAGGCGGUCUGUUGCGUCGGGAGUGAAAACUUACAGCUUAACUGUGAGCGUGCUUUCGAUACGGGCAGACUUGAGGCAUUCAGGGGAGAACGGAAUUCCUGGUGUAGCGGUGAAAUGCGCAGAUAUCAGGAGGAACACCGGUGGCGAAGGCGGCAUCCUGGACCAACACUGACACUGAGGAGCGAAAGCCAGGGGAGCAAACGGG